AGCUCGGACAUUCUACUCAAGCUCAAGUCUGGUCCAAGUCUCUUCCUUUGUCUACUGCUCAAACUUUUUAUUUUGAUUCCCUGAUUGUAGGUUGUAUAGGACUUCUCUUUGUAAUUUUCUUCGUUUGUCGAAAAAAAAAAAAAAAAACAAUUUAGAAGUCACCAACAUUUUCUAAAUGGAAAGUAGUUAUUCAAUUACUAUCUGAUUUUGGAAGACUUCCUAUAAAACGGUCUGCAAUUUGUAGUCGUAUUUUAUGGAAUAAAAUGUUUCUUUCAUUCUCAACAAAAAUUGUACUGUGGCCACAAAUGCAUUGGUGACUUCACAAAAAAAAAAAAAAAAAAAUUUUGCAUUGGUGAGCGAAACAAGAGUUGGACGAUUUCAACGUGGAGGUGCAGAGGGGGAGAGCGAAGAGGAAGAGAGGACCGGAGCUUUGUUGCUUGCGAUUUGCGAAUUUGGAUUUUGAUUCCUUUGGUGCAACAAGACCGACGACUGCGUUGGCCGGAGAUGCAGUUUUGAUCGUAUCGUCCUCUCAAAUCUAUAACCCAGGUUGAGAUGGCGUGGUUAUUGAUUAUCUCUUCUGUGAUUGUAAUAUGGAUAGCUUCUCUGUUCAAAAUUCUCCAUGGUUCAUACUCACCAUCUAAGGGCGCUUUCUUGAAUGAUUCCAAUAAUGGUGGCAGUGCCAAGAAGAGAAAUGUGUUGCUGGUUGUUGCUCACCCAGAUGACGAGUCCAUGUUUUUCACUCCAACAAUAAACUACCUCACUUCGAGAUGGCAUAAUAUUCACAUCUUAUGCUUGUCAAUUGGUGAUGUAGAUGGUAAAGGAAAUACUAGAAAAGAAGAGCUCUACAAGGCUUCUGCAACCCUCAAGGUUCCACAUCAACAAGUGAAGAUUCUGGACCAUCCAGAUCUUCAGGAUGGUUUUGGCAAGGUGUGGAAUCACAAUUUAUUGGCAAAGAUUAUUGAAGAGGAAGUCGUAAGUCAGGGCAUUGACUUGAUAAUCACUUUUGAUAACUAUGGAGUUUCGGGACACUGUAACCAUUGUGACGUACAUUAUGGAGUAAGGAAGCUUUUACUUGCAUCGUCACAGAGGAAUGUUGAAGCCUGGGAACUUGUCAGUACUAACAUAUUCCGCAAGUAUAGUGGACCAGUGGAUAUAUGGUUCUCCAAUUUAUAUUUUAUGCAAUGCUCAAAUGAAAUGUUGCAUUGCUUGGUAAAUGAGCAGCCCCGAAAGAGUUUCCUCGCGAUGGCACAACAUGCAAGCCAGUGGGUUUGGUUUCGCAAGCUUUUUGUGGCAUUUUCGAGCUGCACCUAUGUGAACACGCUUAGAAAGAUGAAGUAGUUUGUGAGAUCAAUUUUGUACUUGAAUCUUGUUUGGAGCAUAUUGGUGGUCGGUGGAAGCCUGACAUAGUAGAGGCUUGAAAGUUUAGAAGACCGAUUAGAUGAAUAGAAUCUGAAUAAGGACAUCUACUGAAUUUGAAUCGUAAUGGUUCAGAUGGAGGAGCCGCCUACAUUUUCUGAUGAAUUGGAAGAUAAAUGCAAUCGUCUCAAAGAAAAUUAAGACGGGCAGAUUACAGAGAAUUAAUUCUCUAUGGCUGUGGACAGAACACUGAUGAAGAAUUACUGUUGGACUCAGGGAAUUUAAUGGACACAGUUUCCUCUUUAUUUAGUAGUUGUAAACAUCAUUCUCUUCAACAUUGUUCGAGGCAGCAGCGUGAAACAAGAACCUGCAAUUUGCUAUAAAACGGUCAUGCAAAGGUCAUUGUGAUCCGCAAAGUGUACAGUGUUUCUUCAAGGUCUGCUUCCUCAAAGCAGAGCUUCACGUCAUGAUUAAUUCUAUUCGCAUUCCUGCUCCGGUGUCCGAAAGGGAAGGAUUUGAAGAGCUUAGCCUCACCCGUAACGAACUAAAAAA